GAGUUUGAUCCUGGCUCAGGAUGAACGCUGGCGGCGUGCUUAACACAUGCAAGUCGAACGGAACUGUCAUUUUUGAAGCAAUUAGCUUGCUAAGGGUGGAAAUGUUGGCAGUUUAGUGGCGGACGGGUGAGUAACGCGUGGGUAACCUGCCUUGCACUGGGGGAUAACACUUAGAAACAGGCGCUAAUACCGCAUAAGCGCAUACAGCCGCAUGGGUGUAUGCGGAAAGCUCCGGCGGCACGGGAUGGGCCCGCGCCCGAUUAGCCAGUUGGCGGGGUAACGGCCCACCAAAGCGACGAUCGGUAGCCGGCCUGAGAGGGCGGACGGCCACAUUGGGACUGAGACACGGCCCAAACUCCUACGGGAGGCAGCAGUAGGGAAUAUUGCACAAUGGGGGAAACCCUGAUGCAGCAACGCCGCGUGGGUGAAGGAGCGUUUCGGCGCGUAAAGCCCUGUCAGCGGGGAAGAAGAAAGACGGUACCCGACCAAGAAGCCCCGGCUAACUACGUGCCAGCAGCCGCGGUAAUACGUAGGGGGCGAGCGUUAUCCGGAAUUACUGGGUGUAAAGGGAGCGUAGACGGCGAGGUAAGCCUGAAGUGGAAGCCCGCGGCCCAACCGCGGAACUGCUUUGGGAACUGUUUUGCUGGAGUAUGGGAGGGGUAAGCGGAA
rnacentral:rRNA from 1 species